GAUGAACGCUGGCGGCGUGCCUAAUACAUGCAAGUCGAGCGAACGGACGAGAAGCUUGCUUCUCUGAUGUUAGCGGCGGACGGGUGAGUAACACGUGGAUAACCUACCUAUAAGACUGGGAUAACUUCGGGAAACCGUAGCUAAUACCGGAUAAUAUUUUGAACCGCAUGGUUCAAAAGUGAAAGACGGUCUUGCUGUCACUUAUAGAUGGAUCCGCGCUGCAUUAGCUAGUUGGUAAGGUAACGGCUUACCAAGGCAACGAUGCAUAGCCGACCUGAGAGGGUGAGCGGCCACACUGGAACUGAGACACGGUCCAGACUCCUACGGGAGGCAGCAGUAGGGAAUCUUCCGCAAUGGGCGAAAGCCUGACGGAGCAACGCCGCGUGAGUGAUGAAGGUCUUCGGAUCGUAAAACUCUGUUAUUAGGGAAGAACAUAUGUGUAAGUAACUGUGCACAUCUUGACGGUUCCUAAUCAGAAAGCCACGGCUAACUACGUG
rnacentral:rRNA from 1 species